AGUGAACACUGGCGGUAGGCCUAACACAUGCAAGUCGAACGGCAGCACAGUAAGAGCUUGCUCUUACGGGUGGCGAGUGGCGGACGGGUGAGGAAUACAUCGGAAUCUACUUUUUCGUGGGGGAUAACGUAGGGAAACUUACGCUAAUACCGCAUACGACCUACGGGUGAAAGCAGGGGAUCUUCGGACCUUGCGCGAUUGAAUGAGCCGAUGUCGGAUUAGCUAGUUGGCGGGGUAAAGGCCCACCAAGGCGACGAUCCGUAGCUGGUCUGAGAGGAUGAUCAGCACACUGGAACUGAGACACGGUCCAGACUCCUACGGGAGGCAGCAGUGGGGAAUAUUGGACAAUGGGCGCAAGCCUGAUCUAGCCAUACCGCGUGGGUGAAGAAGGCCUUCGGGUUGUAAAGCCCUUUUGUUGGGAAAGAAAAGCAGCAGGUUAAUACCCCGCUGUUCUGACGGUACCCAAAGAAUAAGCACCGGCUAACUUCGUG
rnacentral:rRNA from 1 species